UAAUACUCCAUAGAUUAUGGAAUCUGGAAUGAUCCAUAGUCAAAAGUUCCGGCGCUUAAGGAUCGGUCUGCGGCCUAUCAGGUCGUAGUGGGUGUAACGUACCUACUAGCCUAUGACGGGUAUGGGCCUUGAGAGAGGGAGCCCAGAGUUGGAUUCUGAGACACGAAUCCAGGCCCUACGGGGCGCAGCAGUCGCGAAAACUUCACAAUGGGGGCAACCCCGAUGAGGGAAUUCCUAGUGCUAGCACAUUUGUGUUAGCUUUUCUCUAGCGUAGAUAACUAGAGGAAUAAGGGCUGGGAAAGACGGGUGCCAGCCGCCGCGGUAAUACCUGCAGCCCAAGUGGUGGUCGAUUUUAUUGAGUCUAAAACGUUCGUAGCCGGUUCGAUAAAUCUUUGGGUAAAUCGGGGGGCUUAACCUUCCGUCUUCCGAGGAGACUGUCGAACUUGGGACCGGGAGAGGCUAGAGGUACUUCUGGGGUAGGGGUAAAAUCCUGUAAUCCUAGAAGGACCACCGGUGGCGAAGGCGUCUAGCUAGAACGGAUCCGACGGUGAGGGACGAAGCCCUGGGUCGCAAACGGGAUUAGAUACCCCGGUAGUCCAGGGUGUAAACGCUGCAGACUUGGUGU
rnacentral:rRNA from 1 species